rnacentral:lncRNA from 1 species
UUCUUGGUAAGAUCAGAUAUCAAUUUGCAUCCAAAAGUAUGUGAUUUUAAAAAUAUGCCGUCAAUGUCUUCCUCCUUUUUUUCAUAAACGUAGAAAGCUGUAAAUCCUAAGAGAACCUAUAGUAUACAAGUUCUUAAGUGAAAAGGCUCCCAGGAAGCUAAGAACGAGCAGAGUGAAAACAACCUAUUGAUCACAAAGGAGAGAUGUGUCAGCAAGUCUGAAUCCACGACCUCGGGAUAUAUAAGAUUGACUGUAUACAAAAAUUUGAUGCAGUGUGUAUACCUUGAAAAACAUCACCCAACUAUUCCCUUCUGCAAGGGAUUUUAAUGCAUUCACAGCAAAAUUCCAAGAUGAGGCAACUGAGAAAGCAAUUUGAUUCGAAAUAUCUUCUGAUAAGUGAAACCAUGAUGUGGGCAUUUUCUCAACAGUGUACCCCAAUCUGA